UACCUACGGGGCGCAGCAGUGGGGAAUAUUGGGCAAUGGGCGCAAGCCUGACCCAGCAACGCCGCGUGAAGGAAGAAGGCUUUCGGGUUGUAAACUUCUUUUCUCAGGGACGAAGCAAGUGACGGUACCUGAGGAGUAAGCCACGACUAACUACGUGCCAGCAGCCGCGGUAAUACGUAGGGGGCAAGCGUUAUCCGGAUUUACUGGGUGUAAAGGGAGCGUAGGCGGUUUAGCAAGUCAGAAGUGAAAGCCCGGGGCUCAACUCCGGGACUGCUUUUGAAACUGUUGAACUAGAUUGCAGGAGG
rnacentral:rRNA from 1 species